GAGGUUUUAGUAUAAUGGUAAUACAUAUGACUUUUAAUCAUUCCGAUGUUGGUUCAAAUCCGGCAAACCUUA
rnacentral:tRNA from 1 species